GACGAACGCUGGCGGCGUGCUUAACACAUGCAAGUCGAACGGAAAGGCCCUGCUUUUGUGGGGUGCUCGAGUGGCGAACGGGUGAGUAACACGUGAGUAACCUGCCCUUGACUUUGGGAUAACUUCAGGAAACUGGGGCUAAUACCGGAUAGGAGCUCCUGCUGCAUGGUGGGGGUUGGAAAGUUUCGGCGGUUGGGGAUGGACUCGCGGCUUAUCAGCUUGUUGGGGGGGUAGUGGCUUACCAAGGCUUUGACGGGUAGCCGGCCUGAGAGGGUGACCGGCCACAUUGGGACUGAGAGACGGCCCAGACUCCUACGGGAGGCAGCGGGGGAGAAUAUUGCACAAUGGGCGGAAGCCUGAUGCAGCAACGCCGCGUGCGGGAUGACGGCCUUCGGGUUGUAAACCGCUUUCGCCUGUGACGAAGCGUGAGUGACGGUAAUGGGUAAAGAAGCACCGGCUAACUACGUG
rnacentral:rRNA from 1 species